rnacentral:rRNA from 1 species
UACAGGGGGGGCAAGCGUUGUUCGGAAUUACUGGGCGUAAAGGGCUCGUAGGCGGCCAACUAAGUCACACGUGAAAUCCCCGGGCUUAACCUGGGAACUGCAUUGGUGACUGGCAGGCUUUGAGUGUGGCAGAGGGAGGUAGAAUUCCACGUGUAGCAGUGAAAUGCGUAGAGAUGUGGAGGAAUACCGAUGGCGAAGGCAGCCUCCUGGGCCAACACUGACGCUCAUGCACGAAAGCGUGGGGAGCAAACAGG